rnacentral:rRNA from 1 species
UACGUAGGGUGCAAGCGUUGUCCGGAAUUAUUGGGCGUAAAGAGCUCGUAGGCGGUUUGUCGCGUCUGCUGUGAAAACUCGGGGCUUAACUCCGGGCCUGCAGUGGGUACGGGCAGACUAGAGUGCGGUAGGGGAGACUGGAAUUCCUGGUGUAGCGGUGAAAUGCGCAGAUAUCAGGAGGAACACCGGUGGCGAAGGCGGGUCUCUGGGCCGAUAUUGACGCUGAGGAGCGAAAGCGUGGGGAGCGAACAGG